CAGUCGCCACGGUAAUACGGAGGAUCCAAGCGUUAUCCGGAAUCAUUGGGUUUAAAGGGUCCGUAGGCGGUCUUGUAAGUCAGUGGUGAAAGCACAUCGCUCAACGGUGGAACGGCCAUUGAUACUGCAGGACUUGAAUUAUUGGGAAGUAACUAGAAUAUGUAGUGUAGCGGUGAAAUGCUUAGAGAUUACAUGGAAUACCAAUUGCGAAGGCAGGUUACUACCAAUUGAUUGACGCUGAUGGACGAAAGCGUGGGUAGCGAACAGGAUUAGAUACCCCGGUAGUCCCUGUCUCUUAUAC
rnacentral:rRNA from 1 species